CUGUAAAUGAGUGAUUGAAUAUGUUGACUUUAUGGGGAUCUUCAUCGGCGAAAGCGGCCUGCUAUAAAAAAUUGACGCUGAGGCAUGUAGGUAUAGUGUUCGAAUAGGAUUAGCAGCCCUAUUAGUCUAUACUGUAAAAGAUGGGUACUAGGUCUGAACCCUUUAUAGGUUUUGGAUCUAAACUAACGUGCAAGUACCCCACCUGGGUAGUAUAGUCGCAAGAUCGAAACUUAACAAAAUUGGCGGGAAUUUGUUCAAACGGUGGAACAUGUGGUUUAAUGCGAUGAUCCGCGAAAAAUCUUACCAAUGCAUUUUCUAAAUUACUUAAAGCAAUUUUUAAUUAAAUAAUUGCUUGUUUUUUAGAAAUUAGGUGCUGCAUGGCUGUCGUCAGCUCGUGUUGUGAGGCGUAAAAUUAACUUUUUUUACGGGCGCAACUCUCAAAAUUAGUUUUAAAUGUAUUUUUUUUUUAAAAAAAUUAUGUUUUUCUAAUUUUUUAUGCGACAAUUGGUUACGUUUAAAAUUUUGCAAAUUUAUUUGGGCCAGUUGUUGGGAAGUUAAGAGACUGAAGUCAAG
rnacentral:rRNA from 1 species